rnacentral:tRNA from 1 species
GAGGGUAUAGCUCAAGUGGCAGAGUGCACGCUUAGCAUGCAUUAGGUCCUGGGUUCAAUCUCCAGUACCUCCU